GACGAACGCUGGCGGCGUGCUUAACACAUGCAAGUCGAGCGAUGAAACACCUUCGGGUGUGAAUUAGCGGCGAACGGGUGAGGAACACGUGAGAAAUCUGCCUUCAACUCUGGGAUAACUCCGGGAAACCGGGGCUAAUACCGGAUAUGAGCCUUGAUCGCAUGAUUGGGGCUGGAAAGUUUUUCGGUUGAAGAUGAUCUCGCGGCCUAUCAGCUUGUUGGUGAGGUAAUGGCUCACCAAGGCGACGACGGGUAGCCGGCCUGAGAGGGCGACCGGCCACACUGGGACUGAGACACGGCCCAGACUCCUACGGGAGGCAGCAGUGGGGGAAUAUUGGGCAAUGGAGGAAACUCUGACCCAGCGACGCCGCGUGAGGGAUGAAGGCCUUCGGUUGUAACCUCUUCAGUAGGAAGGAAGACGAAAGUGACGGU
rnacentral:rRNA from 1 species